UUAAUAAGUAUAAUUUAAAUGUCUAAAGUGUAAAAAAUCUGAUAUCAGAUUGAUAUCAGUUUCGGUAAUAAGGCU